AUUCCAGCUCCAAUAGCGUAUAUUAAAGUUGUUGCAGUUAAAAAGCUCGUAGUCGGAUUUUGGCAUCACGCCGAACUGUCUGCCGAUUGGUAAGUACGGUUUGGCGGGUGCUUCCUUCCGGAGGCUCGUUCCCUUCUUCAUUGAAGGGUUCGUUGGUUCCGGGUCUUUUACUUUGAGAAAAUUAGAGUGUUCAAAGCAGGCCUAUGCUCUGAAUAGGUUAGCAUGGAAUAAUAGAAUAGGACUUUGGUUCUAUUUUGUUGGUUUCUAGGACCGAGGUAAUGAUUAAUAGGGAUAGUUGGGGGCAUUCGUAUUUAACUGUCAGAGGUGAAAUUCUUGGAUUUGUUAAGGACGGACUACUGCGAAAGCAUUUGCCAAGGAUGUUUUCAUUA
rnacentral:rRNA from 1 species